rnacentral:tRNA from 1 species
GUGCCUAUAGCUUAAUGGCAAAGCUCCGCUCUGUGGCAGCGGCUAUACGGGUCCGAUUCCCGUUAGGCACC